AUACGUAGGGGGCGAGCGUUGUCCGGAAUGAUUGGGCGUAAAGGGCGCGUAGGCGGCGCGGUAAGUCUGGAGUGAAAGUCCUGCUUUCAAGGUGGGAAUUGCUUUGGAUACUGCCGCGCUUGAGUGCAGGAGAGGUUAUCGGAAUUCCCGGUGUAGCGGUGAAAUGCGUAGAGAUCGGGAGGAACACCAGUGGCGAAGGCGGGUAACUGGACUGCAACUGACGCUGAGGCGCGAAAGUGUGGGGAGCAAACAGGAUUAGAUACCCUGGUAGUCCACACUGUAAACGAUGAAUGCUAGGUGUAAGAGGUAUCGACCCCUUUUGUGCCCGAGUCAACACAAUAAGCAUUCCGCCUGGGGAGUACGGCCGCAAGGUUGAAACUCAAAUGAAUUGGCGGGG
rnacentral:rRNA from 1 species